rnacentral:RNase_P_RNA from 1 species
AAGGAGCCGUUUGAGGAAAGUCCGGGCACCGCAGGGCAGGAUGCCGGCUAACGGCCGGCGAGGGUGACCUCAGGGAUAGUGCCACAGAAAUAAACCGCCUCCUUUCGGAGGUAAGGGUGGAACGGUGCGGUAAGAGCGCACCGGCGAUUCGGUAACGAAUCGGCCAGGUAAACCCCAUCCGGUGCAAGACCGAAUAGGAAAGUAUUGGGCGGCCCGUCCAGCUUUCGGGUUAGGUCGCGUGAACCCGCCGGUGACGGCGGGUCAAGAUAGAUGAUGAUCGAAUCGUUCAGCACAGAACCCGGCUUACGGAUUUGCUCC